CUACAGUGUAUUCAGCAGAACAAGAUCCCGCUUUAAGGCUCAUUUCACGCGGCGGCGAGGCAGAUCAGGACAGGAGCACUCCUGAUUAAACCCAUGGGCUGUUCUGCAGCUGAACACACAGAGAUCCAGUUUCUUUUGUUACCUGUGGGUAUGUUUCCAUGCGGGCUCAGAUCUAGUCAGAAUGGAUCACUCGUAUCCUGAAGAAAAGAAGUGAAACAAGAGACAUUAUUUUGAUGGGGUCUAGCAGAAACUCAAUCUGCAGUGGACCCCUGUUGGUUCUGCAUGAACGAGGACUGAGGGUGGAAGGGCACGGUUUCCCGCUCAUUAGGCUGUACCUAAGAGACUGUUUUACCAUCCUCUCCUCCCCCCUUCUCUCUCGUCUGCUUCCCUUAGAGAUAAUAGUUAACGUUUCUGUAUCGCCAUCCAGCUCAAUGUACAGUAGCAACUACAGAGACACACCUGGACGAAUGACUCCACUCACUGAUCAGUGUAGCACAGCCACCACUGGGGGGUGGCGGGGAGACAAGGCAGCUGUUUAACUACCUACAGUAACAGCACACACAGGGAGAGACCACCACCCGAUCCACAUGCACUUGCAUUUAGGGAGGCAGGAUCUAAAUAGCCACAUUGAAACUUAGCCAGGACGACAAGGUUAACACACCCAUCUCUUGCCAAAAAAGUGUCAUAGGAGUUGAAACAACUGCAAGUGGUCACAAGUCUCUGUUUUUAUGACUCAUUUGAAGCAUGGCACCCUAUGCAGAGUAGGAUACAUCAGCACCAUGCUAGGACAUAAGUACUGACUCAAUAGGGUGAGACGCUCCUACUAAAUCACCCGCAUUUCCUGCAGCAUCUGAAUUUUCCUUGCAGAUCUUCCACCAAGUAUUGGCUAGGCUCAGCCUCGGAUUACAAAAUCCAAUGAGAUCACAGGUGAGUUAGGAGCAGUCAGCCCCAGAAGGCUGAAUUCGCGCCAGGGAUUUCUCUGUGGGAUUACAACAGCCUGCUCCCUGCUGAUAUGCAGUGUCUCCAAACCACCUGGCUGACACAUUUUGCCAUGCCCAUCACCCACAAUCCUAUGUGCACUGCACGCCACCAAUGGGGUGGGAAUCUUAGCAGAAGGAAGGUGGGCACAUUGGUGAGGCAGACGCCCUUCCCAACAGCCAGCACUGCCUCUAUCACAGGAAACAAAACUGCGUGGCCAUUCCUUAGAGGGGAAGUGACCUACGUUCCUGUCCUUGGGUGUGAACACUCUAGUUCCUCAAUAGGGGAGGGGGAAAGGAGCAACAGAAACAGACUCAGGAGUGAAAACUGUUGGGGGCAGAGAUUGCUUUUUUCAGCCAAGAUGCCCCGCAGUGCACUUGCUGUGCUGGGAAGAUCAAGGCUGGAGGUUGUGCUGUCGGAUCACAACUACGUUUCGCUCCCACCCGCAAACAGGAAGCAGCAGGCAGAUCCUUCCCCAAGGCUGUGGAAAACAUUGCCAGUGAAACAGCAGCAAAAGCAAGGAGUCAGGAGAGGAGAGCUACAGGGAAGAGAGAGUGACUGAAGGUAUCUGCUCGUGCCACAUUUUGUUCUGCUUCGCAGGAGGACCCUGGGGACCUCACUACCACCUGCCCUUAGUGUGAAAAACCAGUGUCUGUGCUGGCCUUGGUUCUGUUCCCCAACAUCACCAGCCUCUGGCAACACAAGCACUCCUCUCUAGGCCUCUGCAGGCCCUGCUCCUUCUUACAGAUUAGCAAUAGUCUCACUCUAACCCCCAAGUCCUCCAAGCAUCUCCAGCCCCUGGGCCACGGGAUACUCACGGACUCCACAGAUCUGCUACUCCCAAAGGACGAAUAGUACACUCCAUUUUACCAGUUCCACCACAGAGCUCCACUUAAAACACAGCACUGAGAUCUGUUUAUAGCAAAAAUAAGUCUACGUUUAUUUAACAAAGAACAGAGACUCAUAUGACAGUAGCAGAAAUACUGGAAAUAAAGGAUUACUGUAUAUACUCCUUCAUAAGGCAAAUAUUUUUAGUAAAACAAGUGAAGUAUCAA